UAGUCAUAUGCUUGUCUCAAAGACUAACCCUUGCAUGUCUAAGUUUAAGCGAUUUAAACGGGGAGACUGCGGACGGCUCAUUAUAUCAGUUAUAGUUUAUUUGAUGGCCGAUUACUACAAGGAUAACCGUAGGAAUUCUAGAGCUAAUACUUGCACUUCAAACUGAUUUUUCAGUUGCACUUAUUAAAUUUACCACCAAUGCUCUUCGGAGCUUCGGUGAUUCAUAGUAAUUUAGCGAAUCGCUACGGCUUCGGCCGCGACGCUUCAUUCAAAUUUCUGCCCUAUCAGCUUUCGAUGGUAGUGUAUGGGACUACCAUGGCUUUGACGGGUAACGGAAAAUUAGGGUUCUAUUCCGGAGAGGGAGCCUGAAAAACGGCUACCACAUCUAAGGAAGGCAGCAGGCGCGCAAAUUACCCAAUCCCAACGCGGGGAGGUAGUGACAAGAAAUAACAACAACUAACCUAUUUCAGGUGAGUUGAUUGGAAUGAGUACAAUCUAAACACCUUAACGACUAUCCAUG
rnacentral:rRNA from 1 species